rnacentral:rRNA from 1 species
GCCCAGAUGGGAUUAGCUAUUAGGUGGGGUAAUGGGUCACCUAGGCGACGAUCCCUAGCUGGGCUGAGAGGAUGACCAGCCACACUGGAACUGAGACACGGUCCAGACUCCUACGGGAGGCAGCAGUGGGGAAUAUUGCGCAAUGGGCGCAAGCCUGAUGCAGCCAUGCCGCGUGUAUGAAGAAGGCCUUCGGGUUGUAAAGUACUUUCAGCGAGGAGGAAGGCGUUAAGGUUAAUAACCUUGUGGAUUGACGUUACUCGCAGAAAAAACACCGGCUAACUCCGUGCCAGCAGCCGCGGGAAUACGGAGGGUGCGAGCGUUAAUCGGAAUUACUGGGCGUAAAGCGCACGCAGGCGGGCUGUCAAGUCGGAUGUGAAAUCCCCGGGCUCAACCUGGGAACUGCGUUCGAAACUGUGAGGCUAUAGUCUUGUAGAGGGGGGUAGAAUUCCAGGUGUAGCGGUGAAAUGCGUAGAGAUCUGGAGGAAUACCGGUGGCGAAGGCGGCCCCCUGUACAAAGACUGACGCUCACGUGCGAAAGCGUGGGGAGCAAACAGGAUUAGAUACCCUGUGAGUCCACGCCGUAUACGAUGUCGACUUGUAGGCUGUGCCCUUGAGGAGUGUGUUCCGGAGCUAACGCGUUAAGUCGACCGCCUGGGGAGUACGCGCGCAAGGGUAAAACUCACAUGAGUUGACGGGGGCCCGCACAAGCGGUGGAGCAUGUGGGUUAAUUCGAUGCAACGCGAAAAACCUCACCUACUCUUGACAUCCACAGAACUUAUCAGAGAUGCUUUGGUGCCUUCUCGAAC